UACGUAGGGUGCAAGCGUUAAUCGGCAUUACUGGGCGUAAAGCGUGCGCAGGCGGCCAUGCAAGACAGAUGUGAAAUCCCCGGGCUCAACCUGGGAACUGCAUUUGUGACUGCAUGGCUGGAGUGCGGCAGAGGUGGAUGGAAUUCCGCGUGUAGCAGUGAAAUGCGUAGAUAUGCGGAGGAACACCGAUGGCGAAGGCAAUCCCCUGGACCUGUACUGACGCUCAUGCACGAAAGCGUGGGGAGCAAACAGG
rnacentral:rRNA from 1 species